GGGGGAGCGUUGGGGGAUGCGAGCCGAGGGAGGAGGCGCGCGCACCGAGUGGAGCGCCAGGGAGGGCUUCGCCGCCGUCUCCCUCCCUCCGCGGCUUGACCCGGUAGUGAAGGCGCUGGGAGAGGCAGGCCCCGGGCCGCCCUGCAGCCUGCGGGAGGAGGCGGGAGCCGGGAAGGAGGGGAGCGGAGGCCCGACAUGGGCAGGCCGGUGAAGAGAGCCGGGAUCCCUGGGUGGACCUGUCUUCAGCUUCCCUGUGAGCCGGGCUGCUAGCCUGCAGGACGCCCCGACUUGCCCACACCCCAACACUGGACAAAGCAGAAAUCCGGGGAACCCGAUGCCGAGCCUGGUGGCCCAUCUACAGCACAGUCUUCUGGGGCUCCAUCCUGCCACAAGGAAGCUGGAGUUCGGGGUCCCAGCAUGGAACUGCAGAGGGCCUGGCAGGCGGAGCCCGUGGAGAGACUUCACUAUUGGCUCGCUCCACUUUUUACAGUCUUUCAUUCCUCGCAAAGUUCUCAGAAGUGCCCCUCCGAUAGAGGAAAGUUAGAGGAAGGAGUCUGGUCGUCCUGGAUGCAAGAAUAAGGUUAGAGAGGUUGAGUUAAUGUUUGAGGCAUCAUUCCUUACAUGCUCCAGAGCACAGAUUCUUAACUUGCAAUCUGAGGACUUUUCAACGACAAGGUAUGGCCUACUACCUUCCUUUCUGUAUGAUCUGGGCAAACCGACCGGUGGUGGCAAGAGUAGUGUCAAUGAAGUGAUCCACACAGCAAGAGAGGCAGUUUCAGUGCGGGAGUCUAGCUGAUUUCCUGGCUUCUCCAUGCACUUAUCUCAACAUAGUUCCACGAAGUGAUGCACCUGCGCAGUGAACCCUGCCUUCUGCUGCUCGACAGCCACCAGGCUUUGUAACUCAGUUUCACCAAGCUCUGCCAUUGUCAGCGUCAAGAGCUUCGCUGUGGUACGCAUGCGUGGUCCUGAAAGCAACUUUUGCACUUUAUCAUCAACUCUAAGAUACUCAGGGGCUUCUAUCAAUGAUGAGACACAUCUGCAGAAACCCAUACUCCUUCCAUAGGAUCACACGAUCCUUGUCCAAGGGCGAACACACAGAACAUUGUUCAAACCAUACCAAUCCUGACCGGAGAGAACAGAGACAAACUGACUCACAGGAGAGAGGACCUAAGUACUUUAAUACAUUUUUUGAAAUUAUUAUAAAUUAUUUUACAAUAUCCAGAGCAAAUGAAACUAAUUUAAAAUAUUUUGUAAUACACAAGUCCCCAGAAAUACUUUGUGAAGUUAAAAAUAAAAUUUAAAAAAAUGGUCUUGCCAAAUUUCACUACAAAUCAUGAAUGCUAUUUCAAAAAUAAGAAAACAACAACAGCAGCAGCAAAAACAACAACUAAAACAAAAACAACAAAGAAAUAGAAGAUAUGAGGAUGUUUUCAAAAUUAAACCUUUAGAGAUAAUUGUCUUGGCACAGCUGCAGUUCCAGUUCUGAAGGCUAAUGCAGGAGUUUGAUGAAUUUCAGGGCAACUACGGCUGUGAUGACAGUAUACAAAGAUGAAACACAAUAAAAAUACACAUGAAUGAAA
rnacentral:lncRNA from 1 species